CAAAGUGUAGCUUAACUAAAGCAUCUAGUUUACACCCAGAAGAUUUCAUAUAAAAAUGACCACUUUGA
rnacentral:tRNA from 1 species